UUUUUUUCAUGGGUUUGAAUUUAGUAAUCUAAUGCAUUUUGUUUAGUUGAUACCAUUAGGAAAUGAAUUUAUGGUUUGUCAAUUUUUGCAUGUUGUGCAGUUCAAAAAGAUCUAUUUGCUUUGAUUUGAAAGUGAAUAAUAUGUGUGCAGUAUUCCUUCUUCGAUGAAAAUCUUGGCUGUUACUAUAGUAUUACCUAACAAAAAAUAAAUUCUUUAUCAGAAGUCACUCUUCAUUCCUCCAAAUCUAAUUUCUGGCAUGCCAAAAAAGUAAGUCUAACUGUUAGUAUGUAAUCUUUUAAUUCUUGGAUUAGGAUCCCAACCCAACGGUGAUGCUUUUUACUACUUAAACUAAGUUUUUGAUGUGAACAAUGUUUUGGAAGAACAUCCAGGAUGACAAGAUGUUCAACUAGAAUCUGUAGCGGGUAAUUAUCCUAUAUGAAAUUAUUUGAUUUUAAUUUUUAGAAGCAAAUUUUUUUUAUUGAGGCUUAUUGAUGAACAAAUGUUAGGAAUAUUAUUAUCCUAUUUAUGAAAAGGUAGUUUUUCUAGGUAUGUGAUUUUUUGUAAUUGUCUAAUGGACUGUUAAGAUACUCUAGGGGUGGCCGAUAAUUUCUCUUAUCUUCUUCGCUCCAGCAUAUAGGUCUGUGGUUUUUGUAAUGGUUUUAUAACCUUACUUUUGUUGAUUUAUGGGAAGAUGUUAUUGAUCUGCCAUUUCAAAUGUUCUUUCUGAAUAAUGCGACAAGUAGGAAAGAAGCCAAUUUCCUUUAUCUUUGAUCUUGCAAGGCUGUCUCAACUGUGCUAAGAUUUUUGAAGCUGCUGCAAAGUUGAUGAAAGAGAUGAGCUCAAAAGGUUUUCAAUAUUAUCUCAUUACAUACUCCUCCGUACUCAAGGAUAUCAGGAAAGUUGGCGAGGAAAAUAUACAUACACAUAUCUAACGCUAACUUGGAAAUGGUUCUUUGUCGAUUUGUAUGCCAAUUAGCUAGCGAAGCUUUACUUGCACAUAUAUUCGAGAGCCACUUGAAGCCAAUCAUCUAUAUGGACCUUCUUGCAUAUCGACAAGUGGGGGAUCCUGCACUUGAUGUGGAAAGAACCUACAGAGUAUAAUAGAGUGAAUAAUAAUCUGAUUGUCAGAUUUACGAUUCUGCUAAGUGUGCAUCUAUGGAACACAACUCGAAGAUGCUAGAGUUAUGUGUUGCUGAUCUAAAGGAUGUCUUUUGGAUCUUACAGAGGUGCAGUUGAGUUGGAGAUUAGGUUCUUUGUAAGCAAAUAUAAAUGGGUAUAUACAAAGAAAGAUCAAUUUUGUAGCAAAACCUUUUCUUCAGAUACCCAUUUGUCUUGCUCCAAAGAUAUUGAAAGAAUUGUAAGAAUGGAAUGGAAAUUUUUUUCUUUUUCCUUUA